CAGCCAUGGCUGUAAAAGCCAUAAUGAACGAUCUCUGGGCUAAUUUGUUUCCUAAUUUCAGUUUACCUUAAAAAACACCACCUUGGUUUCUUCGGAAAGAACGUUAAACAUUGAGCUGCCUUUGUCUUUUACUUUCUGAGCGUAAAAUUUAAUCUGCCUAUGGACUCCUGAUCAAUAAUUUAAUCUUAAGAUGACAUUCCGGUCCGGUCCAUCUUUCACAUCAUAAACCUGUUCGACCAGAGGCGGUGACAGCUACCUACCAUCCUCAGGUAAACACCGGGCCACCACCCAGCCUCGAGUAAUUUUUCUUGUAGCUCUCCCUAAGCCUUUAACUCUGAAUGCGGGCGUGCGGAGCUCGGGAGAACUCGGUAGAGAUCGGGAGAACUCGGUAGAGAUCGGGAGAACUCGGUAGAGAUCGGGAGAACUCGGUAGAGAUCGGGAGAACUCGGCGGGCAGAAUGGGAAACAGCACAUCCUCGUUUUGGGGGAAGUCAGCCACUACUCCUGUGAACCAGAUCCAAGAAACAAUUUCUAAUAAUUGUGUGGUGAUUUUCUCAAAAUCAUCCUGCUCUUACUGUUCAAUGGCCAAGAAGAUUUUCCAUGACAUGAAUGUCAACUAUAAAGUCGUGGAGUUGGAUAUGGUGGAAUAUGGUAGCCAGUUUCAAGAGGCUCUUUACAAGAUGACUGGAGAAAGAACUGUUCCCAGGAUAUUUGUGAAUGGAAUAUUUAUCGGAGGUGCGGCCGACACUCACAGGCUUCACAAAGAAGGGAAAUUGCUGCCUCUGGUUCACCAGUGCUAUUUAAACAAAAGCAAGAGGAAAGACGUCGAAUGACGUGGCUAGUCGCCGUACCAGUAAACCGUCCUGAUGCAGCAAGGAAAUCCUCACUAGAUGCUGGCACUUUAACCUCAACAUCCCAACCUAUGAACUAUAAGAAGUCCUUCUCAUCUUCAUAAAUUACUUAGUCUCAGGUAUUCUGUCUGAGUAGCACAGAUAGAUUGUCCCUAAAGUCCCUUCUGUUAUCUUACUAUUUUCUAACUAGGAAGACACUGUUUAAACUGAUUACAUUUCAGAUAAACUUAGCGAACAGGAUUAACUUUUAAGAAGUAUUAUUUGAAAGAAUUGAAAACAUUUUCAAUACUUUACUAAUCUGGUCAUAUUUAUAGCCUCUGGUCAAGAAUAUUUUAAGUGCCUAAGAAGUAAUGCAUUUCCUAGUAGAUUCCGAGAGUCAGGUUGGAAAGAUUAUUAAAUGCUGAGCCUAUCUCAGAAAUAGGAAGAACAUGGACUUCCCGAGUAAGUGCUUCAGCUUUCUGGUCAAGAUGGACUAAGGAAUCAUGGAGAAUUUGGAGGGAGACAGUGGCUUGCUGUCGGUGACAUUUCCUACAUGGACUUCAACUGCAUUUUGAAUACCUUGAUACAGUUGAGAAGUUAAGUUCUCCUGAUAUUUCUUUCUUUUAAGUUGUCAUGUUGGUAGGGAAGGAAAAUGGUGUAUUUCUACUCCUUUAUUUUACAUUUUAUCAUGAAAAUUGUAUAAUUUUGCUAUGCUGUAAAAUUCACAUUAGAGAUUAGAGGAAGUCUGUUAUGCAUAAGAAAGGUAAAAUUGUUACUCUUGUCACUAGUAAUCUUAUUAGGAUAUAAGAUUAGGUUGCUUAAAUGCAUAGCCCACCAACCAAGUAAUAUGGUAUUUGGCUUUGAGGAAUUUUUGUGGUAUUCAGACUCAGACCCAGGGCCUGAAUAUUAGGCAGGCGCCUGACCACUGAACUAUACAACUAAUCCUUAAGAAGGAUGUUCCAACAGCUCUACCUAGGCUUGUGGAAAACAAGAGGAUGUGUAGUACUUAAUUCUUAGGGUCCGAUGUUAAAAUAAUCCAGCUCUUUAAAAAGCCUUAGCAGAAGGCUCAAGAAUAUGGAAGGUAACAGGGUAUCUUGAUUUUCAAUUAUACGUUUAAGGAAUAAAGAAAUAAACUCUUCCAAUGAUUGCCUAAUA
rnacentral:lncRNA from 1 species